rnacentral:tRNA from 1 species
GCCAGGAUGGUGAAAUGGUAUACACGCAAGACUUAAAAUCUUGUGGCCUUUGGCCGUGCGGGUUCGAGUCCCGCUCCUGGUA